rnacentral:rRNA from 1 species
CCUACGGGUGGCAGCAGUGAGGAAUAUUGGUCAAUGGCCGGAAGGCUGAACCAGCCAAGCCGCGUGAAGGACGAAGGUGCCAAGCAUUGUAAACUUCUUUUGUCAAGGGACAAAAUCAGGCUCGAGAGCCUGACCGAGGGUACUUGAAGAAAAAGCAUCGGCUAAGUCCGUGCCAGCAGCCGCGGUAAUACGGAGGAUGCGAGCGUUAUCCGGAUUUAUUGGUGUUAAAGGGUGCGUAGCGGGACUGUUAAGUCAGCGGUAAAAGCCCGGGGCUAAACCCGGGAGAGCAGUUGAAACUGGCUGGCUUGAGAUGUGGAGAGGUAUGCGGAAUGCGCAGUGUAGCGGUGAAAUGCUUAGAGAUGGCGCAGAACUCCGAUUGCGAAGGCAGCAUACCGGCGGCGAUCUGACGCUGAGGCACGAAAGCGUGGGUAUCGAACAGGAUUAGAUACCCGGGUAGUC